CAAUACUAGAGACCGGCGCACGGGUGCGUAACGCGUAUGCAAUCUACCUUUUACAGAGGGAUAGCCCAGAGAAAUUUGGAUUAAUACCUCAUAGCAUAGCAGCUUCGCAUGAAGCCACUAUUAAAGUCACAACGGUAAAAGAUGAGCAUGCGUCCCAUUAGCUAGUUGGUAAGGUAACGGCUUACCAAGGCAACGAUGGGUAGGGGUCCUGAGAGGGAGAUCCCCCACACUGGUACUGAGACACGGACCAGACUCCUACGGGAGGCAGCAGUGAGGAAUAUUGGACAAUGGGCGCAAGCCUGAUCCAGCCAUGCCGCGUGCAGGAUGACGGUCCUAUGGAUUGUAAACUGCUUUUGCACAGGAAGAAACAACAUUACGUGUAAUGUCUUGACGGUACUGUGAGAAUAAGGAUCGGCUAACUCCGUGCCAGCAGCCGCGGUAAUACGGAGGAUCCAAGCGUUAUCCGGAAUCAUUGGGUUUAAAGGGUCCGUAGGCGGUUUAGUAAGUCAGUGGUGAAAGCCCAUCGCUCAACGGUGGAACGGCCAUUGAUACUGCUAGACUUGAAUUAUUAGGAAGUAACUAGAAUAUGUAGUGUAGCGGUGAAAUGCUUAGAGAUUACAUGGAAUACCAAUUGCGAAGGCAGGUUACUACUAAUGGAUU
rnacentral:rRNA from 1 species